CAAUAGAUACCCGGGUAGUCCACGCCGUAAACGAUGGAUGCUAGCUGUUAUGCGUAUCGACCCGUGUAGUAGCGAAGCUAACGCGUUAAGCAUCCCGCCUGGGGAGUACGAACGCAAGUUUAAAACUCAAAGGAAUUGACGGGGACCCGCACAAGCGGUGGAGCGUGUUCUUUAAUUCGAGGCUAAGCGAAGAACCUUACCAGGGCUUGACAUCCUUGGAAUUUCUCCGAAAGGAGAGAGUACUUUAUUGGGCCAAGUGACAGGUGCUGCAUGGCCGUCGUCAGCUCGUGUCGUGAGAUGUUUGGUUAAGUCCAUUAACGAGCGCAACCCUUAUGAAUAGUUGUAUUUUUCUAUUCAGACUGCCCCGGUAACGGGUAGGAAGGGGGGAUGAUGUCAGGUCAGUAUUGCCCUUACGCCCUGGGCUAGAAACGCGCUACAAUGGCCGGUACAAUGCGCUGCCAACCCGCGAGGGGGAGCAAAUCGCAUCAAAGCCGGUCCCAGUUCGGAUAAGAGGCUGAAACUCGCCUCUUUGAAGCCGGAAUCGCUAGUAAUCGU
rnacentral:rRNA from 1 species